UCUAUGCUCUCACAUUCAUAUUAGAAACAUUCUUAUUAGAUUUUAUCAGAGAAAAUGAGUGCUCAUGAUGUGAAUGUUUCACGUUACGGAAAAGAAUUUUCACAUUCUCCUGACGCUGUAGCUUCUAUCACUGUUCCUGUUCCAGUGAGCUACUCUUUCAUUUCCUAUUUCCUUGAAUCAGCACCAGCAACCAGAAUGGAGUUUUCAGGAAGACAUAAGAGCUGCAGAGGAAGACAGAACACACCCUACUGUGUGACUUGGCAGGACAGGAAGGGGAGUUCUUACCUGGUCUCUGCUGAAAGUAACCAUACACUGAACUGAAGUGGACCACUGCCCAUCAUGCUCCUGCCCCAGCUCCACUUUCUAGCCACUCACUGUGAAAAGGACACUCCAAGGAUCAUCUUCCCACCAGGUCCACGGGUCUUUUCUUCCCAGGUAUUCCAGGAAGUACCUCAACAUCCAGGUACUUUUCAUGUUGAGCUGUUCUUGUCUGAUUCUUGUCUGUUUCACACACUGGACUAUUAGCUCUUUAUCAGGAACUGUAUCUAAUUUGCCUUUGUAGUCCCUCUGUUCAGCAGAGGGCCUGACACAUGCACACAUAUAAAUGUCUUUUGAAUGAAUAAAUGAAUAAGUUAGAUUUUAAA